CCCAGUGUGGCCUAGUGGGUUGAAUGUUGGACUAAGAAUCUGGAGGCCAGGGUUCGAUUCCCAGAUCAGCCA